CUUGGUGAAGAACCUGGGCAGCCUACACGGGUGGAUCUCAUCAGCCCCAUCAGUGUUGGGGAUAAAGGAGCAGCAGAACCUUCACUCAGUGCUGGAUGAUUAACGUGCACCGAUCAGUUUCUGGAUUUUCCAACUGGAUCGGUUCCAUUGUUUUCUCCUCUUGUGGAUCUCACCUGCAAGUCUGCCUGCCCGCUGCUCCCUCCACACCAUCGAUUCUCUGGUUCCUGAGAGGAGCGUGAGGAUGGUGAUGACUGGGAGCCAUUCUCCACACUGACCUUGGGCACAUUCCCCCACGCUUCAACCAGAACCAUUCUAAAGCACCUCCGAUUCCACUACUCAACCGCUCCUGGAAGGAUCAAGGAGAAUUGUUUGUCUGUUUUUGGAAGGAAAUAAAACCCUUACCUUUAUUCAGACUUGUUGAUUUUGCAUGUGGGUCAGAAGGUUAAAGCCAAACAUGGCAGAAUCA